UGAACUGGAACUGCUGAGUGAAUUAGGUAGUUUCUUGUUGUUGGGCCUCAAUUUCUGAACACAACGACAUUAAACCACCCGACUCACGGCAGUUACUGCUCC
ensembl:miRNA